GUGAUAAUCUUCUGGUCCAUGUCGCUGUGCAAACACAAUGGUACCCUGGCUGCCGCUAGGACGGACAGCAGCUAAGCAGCGGGUGCUCAGAGUUUAUAUAGGAACACGCGCGCCAAAGCUCUGAGAGGACCCCUGCCUCAUUCAGUGCACAGGCCUCAAGGGAGGCAUGCUAGCUGGAGUUGUGCUCUGGCCAUAAUCUGGCCCUGCCUCUUUGGGUGAGGGGCUGCAGUGCAGGAACAAAUUGCAUCAGGGCAAAGACUCUACCAAACAAGAGCGAGAGUGGUAGAUAUCUCUUAGAAACAGAAAAAAUAAUAAAGCUGGCUGCUGUCAUAUGUUUUACAUGCGCUUCUAGCAAGUACAUUAGGCUGGUACAUUGUAGCUAGUAGAUUUCCCAGUGCGCCUAAGGCAGUUAGGAGCCCAACUGCCAUUGACAGUCAAAGGGAGCUGGGUGCUUCACUUCCAUAGGAGCCUUUAAAAAUCGCAGUGCCAGGUCCUCCAUUUGUGUAAAUCAUUGUAGUGCCAUUGAAGUUAGUGGAGCUGCAGAAGCUCAUACCAAGUAAGGACCUGAACCCAAGUGUUGUCUUUGUGCAGACAGGUAGCAUAGUACACUACCACCCCCUUGGAUGUUGAAAUAACCUCCCUAGGGUGUACAGGUGUCAGCAAAUCAACACAAACUGUAAUGGCUAUUGAAUCAGAUCAACAAAAAUUAGUUUGGUGCUGUUUUAGAUUAUUUUAAAAAAAUCACUUUUUAAACAAAUGGCAAUAUUGGCUUUUUGUAUUCCCAGCUCUGUGCGACCUUGGGUAAAUCACCUAACCUCUCCAAACCUCAUAAUCUAUCCCUAAAAUGAGAAUAUUAAUGUCUUUCUGUAGGGGUAUUGUGAAGUUUAAUUAAAUAAUAAAUGUAAAAUGCUUUGAGAUCCUCUGAUAAAAGGCACUGUACAAAUGUUAAGUAUUUUUUCUGUGUUAAAGUAACCAGUAUAAAUAAUAAACAUGGAUCAUUA